GUAAAAUACUACUGCUUUUACUACUGUGGAUGUUUGGUGCAGCCAUCUUGCGUUCUGAACUUGUGGGUUUAUUCCAGUUGAAAUGUUCUACUUAGAACUUGGAAAUUUCCAGUUCUGAAUUCCUAGUUCAGAUGGAAUGCAGUAUAAGGAUUCACAUUAGAGCUCGACCCAACCUGCCCCAUACACUGUCAUUUUGAGCCAAAGCCCGAAUUAAACCUGACAUUUUUUGAGUAAGUAGAGCAUUAAAACUGAGCUUUUAAAAAACAUUUUCGUUCUGUUUAGAAUGAGUGAAGAAUGAAUAAGACCUAUUAUUUAAGAAAAAUAUUAUUAAUUAUUAGGAACAGAUCUCCAAAAGAUUAUAACAUGAACAAUGCAAACAAUGAUCCAAAGGCCUAAACAUUAGGCUACAACAAUGUCUGAAUGACUUUCCUCUAAUCUAGUAUAAUAUAACAUGGUUUAAGAAAAGAAAAUAAAUUCUUUUAUAAUUUUAUUUAUAUUUUUUUCCCAUUUUCUCCCCAAUUUACACAGCCAACCCACUCGUUAGGACUCCCCCUAUCACUAGUAAUGCCCCAACACACCAGGAGGAUGAAGACUAGCACACUCUUUCUCCGAUACAUGUGAAGUCAGCCACCGCUUCUUUUCGAGCUGCUGCUGAUGCAGCAUUGCCAAGGAGCCAGCACAUUUGGAGGAAAGCGCAGCGGCAGGUGAACCCGAGGAACCUGAGGAAAGUGGUGGGAAAUCUCGAGCCAGGGCGCACGGGUACGAUGGUGUGUACAUGGUUGAUUGACAGCGUUUAGUUUGAGAGUGCGCAGGUGUGGGAAAGGGCAAUGGCAGUGAUCUGAAGGUGCGGAUCAUAGUGAAAAGAGAGCAGGUGUUCCAGUGUGUCUGUGCCACGCAGACGAACUGUAGGCUGUUCCCAGAUACUGAAAACAAUGCCGUGGUGAUCAGCUUUCAGGAAGGGCCAGUGGUUUGUGGUGAUGUUAAGGUCAUGUUUGAAUCCAGGGCUGGUCUUCCAAAGGGGUAUGAGGACUAUCCUUUCUAUUUCUGGUUCAACACUUCAUUUGUAGAGAACAACAGGCUCUAUCUGUCAAGGGAGGAACUGGACAACCCACGUAAGUCCAAAACCUGGGACAUCUACAAGGAGGACUUUGGUGUGACCGUGUCUUUCAGUGACCCUGCACUUAUGUAGCAGACGACACUUGCUUGUGUAUCUCAACUAAAACCCUUAAGCCCUGCACAAGGUCUAAAUCUUUGCUCUAAUGUAGGUUUUCACACACUUAUAAAAGGUGAGUGAUGUUUAGGGAUUGGAUUCGGGCAUAUUGUGCCCCUAAAGCUAUAGCUAUAUAACCUCAACUUUAUGUCCAUCCCCCAUCUUCACUGUAAGAGCUUUUUACUGAGCCGUGCAUACACCACAAUAUUAUGCAUUUGUUUGUCAAAUGUUUUUUUUUGUCUUUAAAUGAAGACAAAUGUUUGUGUCAGUUUAGCAUAUUAAGCCUCCAAAAUGUAAAUCUUACUCUUUAAGCUUGAGUGUACAUCAAAUAAAGCAAUCGAGGCUGCCACUGUGAAAUGGUCAAUGGUUAUGUGUGCAGAAACAUGUUUUUGUAGUACACAUGUAUUGAAAUAAAUACUAAUGUCUCUGUAA